rnacentral:rRNA from 1 species
CCUACGGGUGGCAGCAGUGAGGAAUAUUGGUCAAUGGGCGCGAGCCUGAACCAGCCAAGUAGCGUGAAGGAUGACUGCCCUACGGGUUGUAAACUUCUUUUAUAAAGGAAUCAAGUGAGGCACGUGUGCCUUUUUCUAUGUACUUUAUGAAUAAGGAUCGGCUAACUCCGUGCCAGCAGCCGCGGUAAUACGGAGGAUACGAGCGUUAUCCGGAUUUAUUGGGUUUAAAGGGAGCGUAGAUGGGUUGUUAAGUCAGUUGUGAAAGUUUGCGGCUCAACCGUAAAAUUGCAAUUGAUACUGGCAGCCUUGAGUACAGUUGAGGUAGGCGGAAUUCGUGGUGUAGCGGUGAAAUGCUUAGAUAUCACGAAGAACUCCGAGUGCGAAGGCAGCUUACUAAACUGCCACUGACAUUGAUGCUCGAAAGUGUGGGUAUCAAACAGGAUUAGAUACCCGAGUAGUC